rnacentral:lncRNA from 1 species
CGGGAUAAAAGGGGGCGUAUGGAAGGUGAGUUCUCUACCAGUGGUAUAAUAUAUUAGUUGAAGAACCAUUGUUCAAAGUCUUAUCCUAAUGUACUAAAAUACGCCUUAAUAAAAUGAAAAAAAGGGAGCAUGCUACAAGCUGUGACAGCAGUAACUUGCCGUUCCACAUUCCAGUUCUUCCUGCUUCAGGUUAUUUGGUCAUGCAAACAUAAAGAGCCAAGACCAAGUUAACGACUAAUAGUCGUUGGUUACAAAACUAAUCAUAGCUAGGUAGUGGACGUCCAAAUCACAGAGCUAGCAUAUAUAGAUAAGUUAGUAAGGUAGUAGUUAACAAAGAAGGGGACAAGAGAGAAUGCAUUAUAUACUACAACUGUGAUAGUACAAAAUGGUCGGCCAUUAAUUCGGCAUGCAGCACCUACGGCAAACGCCUGUCGAUGAUUUUGGGUUUUCUUUGACUUCAGAUUCAAACCGGAGCACGUACACAGCUUUGUGGUCAGAUAUAUCCUCAUGGAUCAAUGCAUUGGCUUUGUUGUUUUGGGAUAUGCAUCCGGCCUUGUUUUUCUGGCAUUGGUCUUCGUUUGGUAAACUGGCAUGUUUAAAUUGGCGAUCAACACUCAAACAUUUAUAUAUGGCUUGCAUAUAUUUGACGUUAU